UGGGGAAUUUUCGACAAUGGGGGGAACCCUGAUCGAGCCAUCUCGCGUGUGGGACGAAGGCCUUCGGGUUGUAAACCACUUUUCUCAACGAAGAAAAGUCUUAGGCUAAUACCUUAGGACGCUGACGGUAGUUGAGGAAUAAGCACCGGCUAACUACGUGCCAGCAGCCGCGGUAAUACGUAGGGUGCGAGCGUUAAUCGGAAUUACUGGGCGUAAAGGGUGCGCAGGCGGCUUGGAAAGAACGGUGUGAAAUCCCGGGGCUCAACCUCGGAACUGCACUAUUAACUGCCAAGCUAGAGUAUGUCAGAGGGGGGUGGAAUUCCGCGUGUAGCAGUGAAAUGCGUAGAUAUGCGGAGGAACACCGAUGGCGAAGGCAGCCCCCUGGGAUAGUACUGACGCUCAGGCACGAAAGCGUGGGUAGCAAACAG
rnacentral:rRNA from 1 species